rnacentral:rRNA from 1 species
UGACCUCGGACUCAGGUACGGAUACCCGCUGAACUUAAGCAUAUCAAUAAGCGGAGGA